rnacentral:rRNA from 1 species
AUGCCAGACUCCUACGGGAGGCAGCAGUGAGGAAUAUUGGUCAAUGGGCUUACGCCUGAACCAGCCAAGUCGCGUGAGGGAAGACUGCCCUAUGGGUUGUAAACCUCUUUUGUCAGGGAGCAACGCCGGCUACGUGUAGCCGGACUGAGAGUACCUGAAGAAAAAGCAUCGGCUAACUCCGUGCCAGCAGCCGCGGUAAUACGGAGGAUGCGAGCGUUAUCCGGAUUUAUUGGGUUUAAAGGGUGCGUAGGCGGCGCUUCAGGUCAGCGGUGAAAUACCGGGGCUCAACCCCGGGGCUGCCGUUGAAACCGGAGCGCUAGAAUUCCGAUGCCGUCGGAGGAAUGUGUGGUGUAGCGGUGAAAUGCAUAGAUAUCACACAGAACACCGAUUGCGAAGGCAGCUUACCAAUCUAUAUCUGACGUUGAGGCACGAAAGCGUGGGGAGCAAACAGGAUUAGAUACCCGUGUA